UUUAUUUGGAAACAUUUCAUUUAUUUUAUUUUAUUUUUUUUAGCUGAUUGAUUCAUUGGCUUCAAAGCUGGUUCCAUGUGUGUUUCCACCUCCUGCUACAGCUGCUUAGACUAGUCUCACAUCACUUAUUCCACGUUUUCAGCUCUUUAUAUUCUCACCACGCUGCCCUUGAAGCCUGUUUGGGUAAAAAAUGUCCAGAAAGUUUUCUUUUAAUACAGCAAGAUUAGCUGCAGACAGAAUAAUCAGGUUUAGUCUUAAUUUUUGCAUUUUGUGCAGAAUUUCUUGUCAAAUCUCAACACAAUAGACUUCAUGUUUCUAAACAAGUUCAGGACAAUUUAACUAAAAGCUAAAAUACGUUCUUACAAUUUUAAAAAGUUACUCUGCAGAAGUUUUAGUGUCUAACUGAACGUGCAGUUUCCAUUCAGAGCGGAGUGUUGAGGCUGCAGCCGUGGGCUUGUGUGGCGUGUCCGCAGGCAGAUGGUUGGCUUUCACGCCGCUACACGGCCGGGGGGUGUUUUCUGUCUCUGCAUCAUCACUACGGAGUGAACAUGUUACCUGAACCUUAUGCAUCUGUUUAAACUUCACUCAGGCUGCUGCAGAGAUGAACAGAGCUGAAGUUUACUAGAAACGUCGUUAUAAUGCGGCCCACACACUUUGUCCUUCAGCCUGGCCUGAGAGAACACAGAUGGAGGCUCAUGCUGUCUUGGCUGCACGUGGAGCUGAACAAGGGGCUCCUCGUGUCAAACAGCUUUUCCAUCAUUUCAGAAUAGUGGAGUUCACAGUGAUGGGAGCAGCUUUAACCCGUGCUACCACUCAGACUGCAUGUUACUUCUCAGAGUCAGAUAUUGGGGAAAGCUGAAGGUGUAAGUUUGCCUCCUCCUGCAGCAGAACACCUGCCUCUCAGGUGCGCGUGACGCAGCUGGUGUUGUGAAUCAGGCCGAUGACAGACACCUCCUACAAGCCGGCUAUUUCACAACACCAGGGUGGCACCGCAUCACUGACGACGAGACGACGAGGACGCCGUGAAGCUGCUGAUGAAGAAAAGUGGUCGCAUUUGCAUGUUUGCAUGUUUCUCUCUUCACCAGCGCAGCGUGGAAGGAAACUGCAGCGAGGACGUGUUAUAAAUUAAAUCUGUAAAACUUGUGAAAACAAAUGUUAAUAAAUUAUGUUCUCUCCGUC